rnacentral:lncRNA from 10 species
UUUAAUAACAAUUCUGUUCAUGAAUAUCCCUACAGGUGUAGCCAACAGAAGUCACAGCAAUAUAAAGAAAGUGGCCUAAAUAAAGCCCAAGAUUUUGGACACAUCUCUUUGUUGGACCAACCAUAUGAUGCUUAAUUUAAUUAUUUACCCAGUUGCUAGUCUAGAUUAAAAGUUUCUGGAUUGUAGGAACCAUGACUUCUUCAUUUUUUUUUUAACGACUACAUGAAAUGGAAGCAACUAGUUUAUCUAUUUGGGUCUCCAGAUCUUUUCCUUGUUUAUUAUCCAAGUACCAGGAAACUGGAGAAACUGUCAUCUGUGUAUCAACCAAAGACACCUCUUGUAUGAGGGGAUGAACAAAUACAGGAUGACUCACUUCUCUUACACUGAGACAGAAGCAGAAUUAACCACUCUUGUCAGCCUGAAACAAUUCUACUCUGGCCAUCCUGAAAUGCCUCAAACACACCUAGGUGAUUGUGAGAGAAUUCCCAGUGACCCAGGGCUGAUGGCCCAAUAAUAAGCCAGGCUGGAGAGACUCAGGCUGAUUCUAAAUAAAAAAUGGAACUGCCUGGCUGAGUGCGGUGGCUUCUGCCUGUAAUCCCAGAACUUUGGGAGGCCAAGGUGGGUAGAUCACUUGAGGUCAGAAGCUUGAGACCAGCCUGACUAACAGGGAGAAACUCUGUCUCUACUAAAAAUACAAAAUUAGCCAGGCGUGGUAGCACAUGCCUGUAAUCUCAGCUACUCGGGAGGCUGAGGCAGGAGAAUCAGUUGAACCCAGGAAGUGGAGGUUGCAGUGAGCCGAGAUUGGGCCAUUGCAUUCCAGCCUGGGGAAGAAGACUGAAACUCUGUCUAAAAAAAAAAAGAAAAAAGGAAAAUGAAACUGCCUUGGUUGAGCUCCAGAACCUGGAUCACCUGUCCUGGUUUGCUAGCUCUUGUGUAAGGGAAAGAACAAAAAUACUCUACUCCAGUAACACAUUUUACAGGUAAAUAUAGUUGUGGCCAUGGCUCUGCAUAUGUUGUAGCCUGAUAAUGGGAAUGGGAGCAGUGUUUCAGCCCCAGCUUCUACUUAUAAUGGUGACAUGGAAAAAAUACUGCUGAGUUUCCAGCAUGAGUCCAGAUAGAGAUAGCUCCAAAAGUUCUCACUGCGACAGCCCACCUCAUUCAGGCACCAUGGGAUACUAAUAGGGCUUCUGAAACAGACAAAGCACUGGAGAGAAAAACAGAUCUCCAUCUGAGCAAGAUUAUUUUGAAAGAAGAAAGUUAAAAAGAUCUUAAGAAAAAGCUUAGAUUAGAUAUAAGAUUGAUUAUGUCAGCCAGAAAAUAUUCCCCUAAAAGAAAUUUCUCUCUAAACACCCAAUGUACAUAGCAUGAGAAACAUAUGAGCAUUAUGAAAAAAUGGGGCAUAUUUUCAGAGGAAUUUUAUAGAAGUUUCUUUUCCAUCUCUGCUGCUCUCUCAUGUCAUAGCCAUUGAAUGGGGGUUCUAUACUGAAAUACAUCUGACAACUUAACACUUUUUGAUGAAUAAAUAGAAUCUGACUGUGUUCAUAUAGUGGAAUACAUUAGAAAUUGCAACAUAGCUAACUGAAUAGUUAUUAUGGUGUUUGGGUGGCCACAUCACCUGUCUUUAUUUAUCCUGUAAUAGCAGCAUUCCAAUUUAGUGAAAUAAAAGAUACUAAAAUUGUGUUUAGUCAUAAUUAUUCCUAUUGAAUAAAGUAAUAAACACGUCAG